rnacentral:rRNA from 1 species
CAGUCGCCGCGGGAAUACGAAGGGGGCUAGCGCUGCUCGGAAUUACUGGGCGUAAAGGGCGCGUAGGCGGACAGUUCAGUCGGGGGUGAAAGCCCGGGGCUCAACCUCGGAAUUGCCUUCGAUACUGGCUGUCUUGAGUAUGAGAGAGGUGUGUGGAACUCCGAGUGUAGAGGUGAAAUUCGUAGAUAUUCGGAAGAACACCAGUGGCGAAGGCGACACACUGGCUCAUUACUGACGCUGAGGCGCGAAAGCGUGGGGAGCAAACAGGAUUAGAGACCCCUGUAGUCCCUGUCUCUUAUAA